rnacentral:rRNA from 1 species
UACGUAGGGUCCGAGCGUUGUCCGGAAUUACUGGGCGUAAAGAGCUCGUAGGUGGUUUGUCGCGUUGUCCGUGAAAACUCACAGCUCAACUGUGGGCGUGCGGGCGAUACGGGCAGACUGGAGUACUGCAGGGGAGACUGGAAUUCCUGGUGUAGCGGUGGAAUGCGCAGAUAUCAGGAGGAACACCGGUGGCGAAGGCGCACAUCUGGCCCGAUACUGACGCUAAAGCGCGAAAGCUAGGGGAGCAAACGGG